rnacentral:lncRNA from 1 species
AUUUUUAUUGGUGUCCCUCUCUCCAGAACCAGGAAGAGAAAAAUGACUUCAGAGAUGGCUCCCUACCAGAGAUGGCAUUGAAAUGAGUCUACGACCACAACAAAAUUACGGAGAAAGUUUCUUCCAGGGAACAAGUUAAAUAGUUCAGCUAUCUUCACAGCCAUGGAAAUCCACUUUCCUGGAAAUCUUCAUUGGGAAGAGCAUAUAGGUCUCAGCCAUCAGAGCAGCACAGAUAUGGGGACAAAGGCCCAAUGUUGCUGACCUCACUGGAGAAGUUGAACACCAAGGACAGUCCUAAAGAAUUAGUUAAAGAUCACACAGAGAUGUGUGGAAGGCAGCAGAACCAGUCCUUCCUAAGUGUCUUGGUGGAGGCAUAGGAUGAGGAUGAGGAGGGGCAUAGGAUGCCAGUCCUAUCUCAAGAAGCCAUGUGAUGAUUGCAAAAGGAAGGGACACAAGAUCUGCUCAUUCAGAUCCACAGGUAAACCAGGAAAGGAGGAGAAAUUUGGAGAGGACUGUUUGUGACGAUGGAGUCAGACAGUAGUUUCAAUUUGGAGUCCUUAUUGGGAUAUAACUGCUCCUUGGGCUGACUCGCACUGGAGAAAUGCCAUUUCAUUAGCAUCUCAUUAAAUAAGUUUUCUCCUUUUUCUUCCUCAGCUUUGUCUCUGUCUUCCUUUUCUUCUUCUUCCGCUUAAUAUUUUUUGUUUUUUCUGUUGCUCUUCUUCCUAUUCUCCCCCUUUUCUUAUCUCCUGAAUUACUGCCAAUUACCAGCACAAGGGGGACCUCCCAAUUGAUGAAUGUAGAAACCCCAAAUUGUGAUUUUGAUGAUCCCUAAGGUUUGUUACUCUCUUCUUAUAGUCAACAGUCAUUCCCAUUCACUUCCACUUCAGUACUCUCUUCUAAAUCUCAUUUUAAAUCUCUCCAUUUUAAACCUCUUUUCCUCAUGAUUUAUAAACAUGGGAUGUCAGAGACUUUCUUCAGGCUGGUUCAUUUAAGUAUUAAAACAUUUCAUCAGUGUGCAACUGCCUUCAAAUUUCAACUUUCAUGGCCUGUGCUUUUGCUAAAUUAAUAGUCAGCACUUCCAUAGCAUUUGUGAUUUUCAAAGCAAUCUGCAAGCAUUAAUUAAUGCUAAUGCUACCCUAAGAGAAUGCUGUAACUAGCUAACUGACUGAACUUUAUCUCAAAUUAUUUUUAAAUGGUUUUCAACUUGGGAGGGAAGCUGGAGUGAAUGUGCAAGAGUGUAUAGGAUUUGGUAUCAUUUGCUGCCUCCUAAAAGUAAUGAUGCAGUAAAUUGAAGUGAAUCAUCCUCAAAAGGAUAUUAAGGUUUGAUCCACCUGGAAUUAAUCAUCUCUAAGAAUUAC